rnacentral:rRNA from 1 species
AACGUAGGAGACAAACGUUAUCCGGAGUUACUGGGCGUAAAGGGCGUGUAGGCGGUUUGUUAAGUCUGGCGUGAAAGCUCUCGGCUAAACCGGGAGAGGUCGUUGGAUACUGGCAAACUAGAGGAUGGUAGAGGCGUGUGGAAUUCCGGGUGUAGUGGUGAAAUGCGUAGAGAUCCGGAGGAACACCAGUGGCGAAGGCGACACGCUGGGCCAUACCUGACGCUAAGGAGCGAAAGCGUGGGGAGCGAACAGG